AUCCCAGGUGAUCCCUCUCCAGGGGUUAGCCAAUACCCUUUUAUGAACCAGCGUGGAAGAAAACCAGGCAUGCCUGAGGUCUUCGCAGAGCAUGGGCUGUCUUUAUCUUUUGCCUUCCUUUGGCUGCCUACAUAC
ensembl:snoRNA